rnacentral:rRNA from 1 species
UACGAAGGGGGCUAGCGUUGUUCGGAAUCACUGGGCGUAAAGCGCACGUAGGCGGAUGUGCCAAUCAGGGGUGAAAUCCCGGAGCUCAACUCCGGAACUGCCUCUGAUACAGCACGUCUUGAGUUCGAGAGAGGUGGGUGGAAUUCCUAGUGUAGAGGUGAAAUGCGCAGAUAUCAGGAGGAACACCAAUGGCGAAGGCAGCUCGCUGGGACGUUACUGACGCUGAGACGCGAAAGCGUGGGGAGCAAACAGG